rnacentral:rRNA from 1 species
GAUGAACGCUAGCGACAGGCCUAACACAUGCAAGUCGAGGGGCAGCAUGAAAUUCGCCGGCUAAUUUUGAUGGCGACCGGCGCACGGGUGAGUAACACGUAUGCAACCUGCCUGGAAGCGGGGGAGAACCCAGACUAAUUCGGACUCAUACCGCAUACUAUCAUUUAUUCGCAUGCUUUACUGAUUAAAAGUUUAUCGCUUACAGAUGGGCAUGCGUAUGAUUAGCUAGUGGGCGGGGUAACGGCCCACCAAGGCGACGAUCAUUAGGGGUUCUGAGAUGAAGGUCCCCAACAUUGGAACUGAGACACGGUCCAAACGCCUACGGGAGGCAGCAGUGAGGAAUAUUGGCCAAUGGACGCAAGUCUGAACCAGCCAUGUCGCGUGAAGGAUGACUGUCCUAUGGAUUGUAAACUUCUUUUAUAUGGGGAUAAAGUGUGAGACUUGUCCCAUUUUGCAUGUACCAUAUGAAUAAGCAUCGGCUAACUCCGUGCCAGCCGCCGCAGUAAUAC